UACAGAGACUGCAAGCGUUAUUCGGAUUCACUGGGCGUAAAGGGUGCGCAGGCGGCCAAGUGUGUGAGGCGUGAAAGCCCGAUGCUCAACAUCGGAAUUGCACCUCAAACUACAUGGCUAGAGCAUUGGAGAGGGUAGCGGAAUUCACGGUGUAGCAGUGAAAUGCGUAGAUAUCGUGAGGAACACCAGAGGCGAAGGCGGCUACCUGGACAAUUGCUGACGCUCAGGCACGAAAGCGUGGGGAGCAAAAGGGAUUAGAUACCCCUGUAGUCCACGCCCUAAACGGUGCACACUAGGUCUUGGCGGAUUCGACCCCACCAGGGCCCAAGCUAACGCGUUAAGUGUGCCGCCUGAGGACUACGGCCGCAAGGCUAAA
rnacentral:rRNA from 1 species